ACUUCCCUGGUGCAGCGGCGGGUGGCGGCGGCCGGCUCCUCCGACGUCUGGUUCUUCUUCUCCGGCGAGGCACUGGCGGCUAGGGUUUUGUGGUCAGGUGUGGGUGGGGUUAUUUAUACCAUUUGCCUUUUAAUCUCAACCGUCCAUCAAGAUUAAAUCUGGACCGUUCGAUCGCGAUUUAAUUGGGAUUAAAUCUGGGCCGUCCGUCGCGAUGUAAUCUGAGCCAUCCGUGCCUAAUUAAAUCUGGGCCGUCUGUACGGUGAAUCUGGGCUGUCCGUGCGCACGUUUGAU
rnacentral:lncRNA from 1 species